CUUUACGGCCACACCACCCUGAACGCACCGGAUCUCGACUGACCUUGAAAGCUAAGCAGGAUCGGGCCUGGUUAGUAUUGGGAUGGCAGACCCCCUGGAAAUACAGGGUGCUGAAGGU
rnacentral:rRNA from 10 species